rnacentral:rRNA from 1 species
UACAGAGGGGGCAAGCGUUGUUCGGAAUUACUGGGCGUAAAGGGCGCGUAGGCGGCCUGUUAAGUCGAACGUGAAAUCCCCAGGCUCAACCUGGGAACUGCGUCCGAUACUGGCAGGCUUGAAUCCGGGAGAGGGAUGCGGAAUUCCAGGUGUAGCGGUGAAAUGCGUAGAUAUCUGGAGGAACACCGGUGGCGAAGGCGGCAUCCUGGACCGGUAUUGACGCUGAGGAGCGAAAGCGUGGGGAGCGAACAGG